UAUGUGUUUGUGUGGAGUGGGCAAGAUGGAUUAAGGUUCAGUGGAGUGUGUGUGUGUGUGUGUGUGUGUGUGUGUGUGUGUGUGUGUGUGUGUAUUUGGAAAGUGUUUUUUUGGGGUGGAUUUUGUGUGUGUAUGUGUGUGUUUGUGUGGGAGUGGGCAAGAUGGAUUAAGGUUCGGUGGAGUGUGUGUGUGUGUGUGUGUGUUGUGUUUGUGUUUGUGUAGGAGUGGGCAAGAUGGGUUAAGGUUCGGUGGAGUGUGUGUGUGUGUAAGGGUAUGUUCACACUAGAAGCAGAGCGGUCCGGUUAGGUGUUCACUCAAUAAGCAGAGCAGGGUGACUUACACAAGAAUUCUGGGUGUCCUCUUAGCCACAGAGCAGGUCGGGCAGGCAACAAUAUGA